CCUACGGGAGGCAGCAGUGGGGAAUAUUGGUCAAUGGGCGCAAGCCUGACCCAGCAACGCCGCGUGAAGGAAGAAGGCUUUCUGGUUGUAAACUUCUUUUCUCAGGGACGAAGAAAGUGACGGUACCUGAGGAAUAAGCCUCGGCUAACUACGUGCCAGCAGCCGCCGUAAUACGUAGGUGGCAAGCGUUCUCCGGAUUUAUUGGGUGUAAAGGGCGGGUAGGCGGGAGGGCAAGGCAGAUGUGAAAACUCAGGGCUCAACCCUGAGCCUGCAUUUGAAACUGUGUUUCUUGAGGGAUGGAGAGGGAAGCGGAAUUCGUGGUGUAGCGGUGAAAUGCGUAGAUAUAAGGAGGAACACCAGUGGCGAAGGCGGAUUGCUAGACAGUGACUGACGCUGAGGCGCGAAAGCGUGGGGAGCAAACAGGAUUAGAUACCCUUGUAGUC
rnacentral:rRNA from 1 species